GAACAAGAAAAUAGGGAGAAAAGCGUAACAAUUUAUUUAUUUAUAUAUCAAUCAUACAAAAAACAAAAACAAAAAUAAAAACAAAAAAAAAAAAGUAAAAAAGAAAGAAAGAAAGAAAGAAAGAUGCUUACAAUAAUAGAAACAAAAUAGUCAAUAAUCACACACUCCAUCGCAUAAACUCAACGUGCUCUCAACGCAACAUUUAAUGAAACAAAAAUGCAACAACAUAAGUGAACACUGAACAAAAAAUGAGAGGCCCAGAAAGUGGGAGGCCAUGGCUAUCGCCAGUGUCCAUAACGGGCGACGAAGACGGUGGCAAUGUGCUGUCUUGUGCGAUAACCACCGAUAAAUAUAGAAUUGCCAUUCCCAUCAAUGCGCCAAAACGUGCCAUUUUUAUUUGCUGGAAAGGAGGAAUUGAAUGAUUUGGCUUGGAAUGAAUAUUUUUUGGUGUGAAUUUAUAGUUGU
rnacentral:lncRNA from 1 species